UUUAUCCUUCUCUGGAUCAUGAUUGGCUUUAGAAUGGAGUUCUUCUCUAUUUCUUGCUUAAUAUGGUGCCCUACACAUGGCUGUCCCUCAAUGAAGAUGUUGAUUGCCAGGAGGCAUGAGAUGCUCCUUGACUUAUGGUGGAGUUACAUCCCAACAUAUCAUUAGCUGCUGUUGCAACAAGCAGGCAGGUAAAGACUGAAGAACAUGGACCUCAGACUCUCAGAGACCUGACAGAUGGAACUGAUACAAGACUAUCUCCACUCACAAGUUGGGGUGGGGAAAGGCAGUAACCAGAGUUAGAAAACUCUGAUGAAUA